CCGACGAAUGUCUCAGAGACGAGGCCGGCCCGCAAGGGACGUCGGUAGAGGUGCUGCAUGGCUGUCGUCAGCUCGUGUCGUGAGAUGUUGGGUUAAGUCCCGCAACGAGCGNAACCCUCGCCUGUAGUUGCCAUCGGGUCAUGCCGGGAACUCUACAGGGACUGCCCCGGAAAACGGGGAGGAAGGUGGGGAUGACGUCAAGUCCUCAUGGCCUUUAUGUCCAGGGCUACACACGUGCUACAAUGGCCGGUACAAAGGGAUGCAAGACCGCGAGGUGGAGCGAAUCCCAAAAAGCUGGUCUCAGUUCGGAUUGUAGUCUGCAACUCGACUACAUGAAGUCGGAAUCGCUAGUAAUGGCGGAUCAGCACGCCGCCGUGAAUACGUUCCCGGGCCUUGUACACACCGCCCGUCACAUCACGAAAGUCGGUUGCUCUUGAAGUCGCUGAGCUGACCCGCAAGGGAGGCAGGCGCCUACGGAGUGAUCGAUGAUUGGGGUGAAGUCGUAACAAGGUAGGCGUAGAUGA
rnacentral:rRNA from 1 species